rnacentral:rRNA from 1 species
AGUGAACGCUGGCGGUAGGCCUAAUACAUGUAAGUCGAACGGCAGCACAGUAAGAGUUCGCUCUUACUGGUGGCGAGUGGCGGACGGGUGAGGAAUACAUCGGAAUCCACUUUUUCUUGGGUGAUAACGUAGGGAAACAUACGCUACUACCUCAUACGACCUACGGGUGAAAUCAGGGGAUCUUCGGACCUUGCGCGAUUGAAUGAGCCGAUGUCGGAUUAGCUAGUUGGCGGGGUAAAGGCCCACCAAGGCAACGAUCCGUAGCCGGUCUGAGAGGAUGAUCAGCCACACUGGAACUGAGACACGGUCCAGACUCCUACGGGAGGCAGCAGUGGGGAAUAUUGCACCAUGGGCGCAAGCCUGAUCCAGCCAUACCGCGUGAGUGAAGAAGGCCUUCGGAUUGUAAAGCCCUUUUGUUGGGAAAGAACAGCAGCAGGUGAAUACGUCGCUAUUCUGACGGUACCCAAAGAAUAAGCACCGGCUAACUACGUG